UGGAUUCCAAAAUCUACGGCCACGACAGUUUACAGAUACGAGAUUUUGUGUGUUUGUUAGAGUACAACUCCAAAAUGUACGACUAUGACAGUUUACAGACACAACGCUUGUUUUCACAACAGCUCUGUUACACGCACGACAUGCAAAUUGUG